GCUAAGAAUUUUCCGCAAUGGGCGCAAGCCUGACGGAGCGACGCCGCGUGGGUGAUGAAGGCUUUCGAGUUGUAAAACCCUGUCGGAUUGGACGAAGGAAAUCUGCGUGAAUAAUGCAGGUUUUCAGACGGUACUUUCAAAGGAAGCCCCGGCCAACUACGUGCCAGCAGCCGCGGUAAGACGUAUGGGGCAAGCGUUGUUCGGAUUUACUGGGUGUAAAGGGCGGGUAGGCGGCCUAAUAAGUCAAAUGUGAAAUCUUAAAGCUUAACUUUAAAACUGCAUUUGAAACUAUAAGGCUGGAGUUCAGAAGAGGAGAAUGGAAUUCCCGGUGUAGGGGUGAAAUCUGUAGAUAUCGGGAAGAACACCAGUGGCGAAGGCGAUUCUCUGGUCUGAUACUGACGCUGAGCCGCGAAAGCUAGGGGAGCAAACAGGAUUAGAAACCCCUGUAGUCC
rnacentral:rRNA from 1 species